rnacentral:rRNA from 1 species
AGCGAACGCUGGCGGCAGGCUUAACACAUGCAAGUCGAGCGGGCACUUCGGUGUCAGCGGCAGACGGGUGAGUAACACGUGGGAACGUACCCUUUGGUUCGGAAUAACGCUGGGAAACUAGCGCUAAUACCGGAUACGCCCUUUUGGGGAAAGGCUUGCUGCCGAAGGAUCGGCCCGCGUCUGAUUAGCUAGUUGGUGGGGUAAUGGCCUACCAAGGCGACGAUCAGUAGCUGGCCUGAGAGGAUGAUCAGCCACACUGGGACUGAGACACGGCCCAGACUCCUACGGGAGGCAGCAGUGGGGAAUAUUGGACAAUGGGCGCAAGCCUGAUCCAGCCAUGCCGCGUGAGUGAUGAAGGCCUUAGGGUUGUAAAGCUCUUUUGUCCGGGACGAUAAUGACGGUACCGGAAGAAUAAGCCCCGGCUAACUUCGUG